GAUGAACGCUGGCGGCGUGCCUAAUACAUGCAAGUCGAGCGAACAGACGAGGAGCUUGCUCCUCUGACGUUAGCGGCGGACGGGUGAGUAACACGUGGAUAACCUACCUAUAAGACUGGGAUAACUUCGGGAAACCGGAGCUAAUACCGGAUAAUAUAUUGAACCGCAUGGUUCAAUAGUGAAAGACGGUUUUGCUGUCACUUAUAGAUGGAUCCGCGCCGCAUUAGCUAGUUGGUAAGGUAACGGCUUACCAAGGCAACGAUGCGUAGCCGACCUGAGAGGGUGAUCGGCCACACUGGAACUGAGACACGGUCCAGACUCCUACGGGAGGCAGCAGUAGGGAAUCUUCCGCAAUGGGCGAAAGCCUGACGGAGAACGCCGCGUGAGUGAUGAAGGUCUUCGGAUCGUAAAACUCUGUUAUUAGGGAAGAACAAAUGUGUAAGUAACUAUGCACGUCUUGACGGUACCUAAUCAGAAAGCCACGGCUAACUACGUG
rnacentral:rRNA from 1 species